rnacentral:rRNA from 1 species
GGCGGCGUGCUUAACACAUGCAAGUCGAGCGGAAAGGCCCUUCGGGGUACUCGAGCGGCGAACGGGUGAGUAACACGUGAGCAACCUCCCCUAGGCUUUGGGAUAACCCCGGGAAACCGGGGCUAAUACCGAAUAGAACCUGGCCUCGCAUGAGUCUGGGUGGAAAGUUUUUCGGCCUGGGAUGGGCUCGCGGCCUAUCAGCUUGUUGGUGGGGUGAUGGCCUACCAAGGCGACGACGGGUAGCCGGCCUGAGAGGGCGACCGGCCACACUGGGACUGAGANACGACCCAGACUCCUACGGGAGGCAGCAGUGGGGAAUAUUGCACAAUGGGCGGAAGCCUGAUGCAGCGACGCCGCGUGAGGGAUGACGGCCUUCGGGUUGUAAACCUCUUUCAGCAGGGACGAAGCGUAAGUGACGGUACCUGCAGAAGAAGCGCCGGCCAACUACGUGCCAGCAGCCGCGGUAAGACGUAGGGCGCGAGCGUUGUCCGGAUUUAUUGGGCGUAAAGAGCUCGUAGGCGGCUUGUCGCGUCGACUGUGAAAACCCGCAGCUCAACUGCGGGCCUGCAGUCGAUACGGGCAGGCUAGAGUUCGGUAGGGGAGACUGGAAUUCCUGGUGUAGCGGUGAAAUGCGCAGAUAUCAGGAGGAACACCGGUGGCGAAGGCGGGUCUCUGGGCCGAUACUGACGCUGAGGAGCGAAAGCGUGGGGAGCGAACAGGAUUAGAUACCCUGGUAGUCCACGCUGUAAACGUUGGGCGCUAGGUGUGGGGGGCCUCUCCGGUUCCCUGUGCCGCAGCUAACGCAUUAAGCGCCCCGCCUGGGGAGUACGGCCGC